rfam:Salmo salar isolate Sally breed double haploid chromosome ssa01, whole genome shotgun sequence.
AUCCAGAGCAUUUGUAAGUCGCUCUGGAUAAGAGCGUCUGCUAAAUGACUUAUA